rnacentral:lncRNA from 1 species
GAGACCCUCUCCCAACCGGAAGUAAAAUCGCAUUGGAAAGUGGGGGUGGGUGAGGCCUCCUACUCCUGGCAGAUGGGGUGCCUCCUGAGGACUUGGCUCAAGGCUGAGAAUGGAUGGAAGUGUCCGUGAGUGAGGCUCCAGAACAACUGGGUGAGCCCAGCAGAGAUGCCAGCUCCGGCCAGGUUGUCUCUGCAGCUGAAGAAUGGGGACGCUAGCU